CGUGGUGACAGAGCCCGGCAGCCGGCAGGGGCAAGCGGAGCAGAAUCUUUCAGCGAGUUGAGGAGAGGAGCAGUUGGAGUGCUGACAAAAGCCUCACUGGAUGAGAGAAGGACAGGCUGUCGUGUUCAUAAGUUAUUGCGCAUCGGGCGCAGUUGAGCUGUCUCUCAGUAAUAUCAUAGAAUCAUAGAAUCAUAGAAUGCCGAAGGUUGGA